rnacentral:snRNA from 1 species
UUCUUUCUCUACUUCGUUUUCUU